CAUAAUAGAUAUAUUUUAAUAAUGUUUGGGAGUAGUAUAUAAAUAUACGGCGUGUGACGUAUCAUUGUUUAUGCGCGGUCACACGUUGUUGUCAUUCGCACGGUGACAUUCUAAUGGAUCGGCAGCGACGCGACACGCUCCGUAUGUUACGCAUUAAUUUUCGAGACGCGAUUUUACAAGAGCGGGGAAUUAUAGGAUUAUUCUUUGAUGAAUAAUUAAUGAGUAUAAUUUCGCAUAAUUAUUUAAUUUGUACGAUUAAAUAAGUAGCUUAUGAGUAUAUCGGGGCGACGACUUUUGUUUCGAAGGAAAUAUUUUGCGCGCUUUAUUCGCUUGAAGUAGGUAUCGACGUGAAGUCAAUCGAUGUAAACUACUGAUGACGUCAUUCCGGUGUCGGUAACGAAACGUUGCGAACGCGAGGCGGAUCGAUCCUGAAUCGCGACGCUUUAAAUUGUGAAUGUCACGAAGGAGCGACAACGGUGAAAUAAGAGAGGAGAAGAAAGCCCAAGGCGGCAUCAGGCGAUGGAACAUGAACUAUGCUGUGUAAUUCGGUCACUGCGCAACGGACUGAAAGUCAUUGAUCGCAGCUGCGCAAAUACCAAUGAAUGCCAGUCUGGAUGCUGUGCGAGGGAGAGGAGAGAUAGGUAAAUGAAAUGGUGAGAUAAGUGAAAUAUAGUGCAAUAAAUUUAUUUAUUUAUCUAUCUCGGACAGAGCUAAGGAUAGAUACGUGUUAUUCUCAUAAUUAUAUUGAGAUGUACAUACAAUACUUCCGCGUACAAAAAUUAUAUAUUGAGAUAUAAAAUACAAAAAACUUCAAGUAAAUGUUUUUUUUAAAUAAAAUUUCAAGCUCGGUAGCAAUGUUAAAAUUCAAUAUUGGAAAUUUAAAAGUUAUUGGGAAAAGUCAAUUCCAAAUUAGACUAUUCUUGAACGAUGUUGUAGAAAAGAUAUCUAAUCUUUACAAAAUGAUAUAGCUAAACUAUGUGUGUUAGAGCAUGUAAGUCGUGAAAAAUGUUUUGUCUAUCUUCUCGGAUAAAAUGUAGAUUUUAAGCUUAUGUAUAGAUACAAUGGAACUCGAAAGCAAAAGUAAUUCGCCCAACGUGGGGCUCGAACCCACGACCCU